UUUCAGGAGCUUUUGUUCCCUGAGCGCUUUUCGUAGAGUUCCAGAGGACGGGAAUACAAAUAGCAGCCUCCUGGUCUCUGGCCCAGAAGAGCCGAGAGCCCGGGGCCCCACUCCUCAGUGCGCCCUCAGAGAACAGCGCCCAGUAACUCCUGUCUGCCUGACCUUUGGCCGCGCUCCGAGCUCACCGAGCCUGCAACCGGUUCAAGGUUGAAAACUGGAAUUUGCUCUGCCACUUGCCUCCCACAUCCAUUUAUUUCAUGUAUAGCUGUGAAAGGACAAUGGAAAAGUUGCCGAGACAAUGAAGAAUUAUGGCAGACUGCAGAGAGGGAGGAAGCUCUGGAGUGAGAAAAUUCCUCAGCCACUCCUAUUCUGGGACAUUUGCUGAUUCUGGGGCACAGCGAAUAGAGAAAAUACAAGGAUGUUAGCUGAAAAACCUAAAAGGCCAGGGAUGAACCAGAGGUGGACUGAACUGCUACACAGAAAUGAUAACAGUGGGAUUUUUAUAAGAGCCAUAUUGUACUUAAAUUUUGAUUAUGGGGAAUUGAAUGUUUACAACAUUUAACUCUUUAAAUUCUUAUAUCUUUUGACACAACCUUAAAAUUCUUCCACAUAUAUAAGAUUUUUUAGUUUAUUUCUACAUAUUUUCUAGUGUUUACUGCUUACAAUUACAAAUGCCUUUUUUUUUCCAAAGAUUUUUUUUUUUUUAAUUUAUUUACUUGACAGAAAAGAGAUCACAAGGAGGCAGAAAUGCAGGCAGAGAGAGGAGGGGAAGCAGGCUCCCUACAAAGCAGAGAGACCAAUGCAGGGCUCAAUCCCAAGACCCUGAGAUCAUGACCCAAGCCAAAGGUAGGAGCCCAACCCAUCGAGUCACCCAGGUGCCCCACAAAUGACUU